UACGUAGGAGGCAAGCGUUGUCCGGAUUGACUGGGCGUAAAGCGCACGCAGGCGGUUGCGCGCGUGGGGUGUGAAAUCUGGGCGCUUAACGGCCAGGCGCCAUCCCAUACGGCGCGACUGGAGGGCUGCAGAGGUCGAUGGAAUUGCCGGUGUAGUGGUGAAAUGCGUAGAGAUCGGCAGGAACACCCAGGGGGAAACCAGUCGACUGGGCAGCACCUGACGCUGAGGUGCGAGAGCGUGGGGAGCGAACAGG
rnacentral:rRNA from 1 species